rnacentral:lncRNA from 1 species
ACCAUCAUACAAGAUAAAACAAGCAAUGAAGAAUUGGGACCAAAGAUUUCUUCAAGAGUAUAUUUCAGGAAAACGCAAACAUUUGGAUGGUAACCUUAAUAUAUUGUUCAAACAUCAUAGUACCUGAAAAUAAAUCUCAAACAUCUCAACACAUGAAAAUAAGGCUCAAACAUCUCAGUACCCGAAAAUAAGGCUCAAACAUCUUAGUACUCGAAAAUAAAGCUCAAACAUCUCAGUACCCGAAAAUACGGCUCAAACAUCUAAGUACCCGAAAAUAAAGCUCAAACAUCAAACAAGACAAACAAGCAAUGAAGAAUUGGAACCAAAGAUAUCUUUAAACAAAUUUUUAAAUGAUCUUAUACAUAAUACUUGUGAAAACAAACCUAGGUCGCAAACUAACCCAACAACGAGGAAAAGAGAGCAAGAUAUGUUUAAGGCACAAAAGAUAUAGUAAAAAGAAAAGAAGAUAGAGUAAACACAGAAAAUCAUACCACAAAGUCAAUAUCAUGCUCAAUUAGAAGACUUACAAUGACAAUCAGAAAAUCAGAACCCAAAGAGUUGACAGCAGUAGUUAACAAAAGAAAAUUCUAUUAAAGGCUACAGAAAAAGAAGCUCUUAAAAUGCCUCACUUGCUUCUGUCACCUGAAAAAGGGCCCAGGACAUAUACUGACCAUAAUUGAUUACCACAACGCUAAUAUCAGAACAAUCUACACACAACCCAAAAGUCCAUACAUUUUCAAAAAUAAGCUUAAUGUAUACGUUUUUAAACUGUAGAAGGGUAAAACAAGUCAAAUUUAUGGUGCGCCAAGCCAACCUUACUAGUUAUUCCACUCUGAUACACAUAACAGUUAGAAACUAUAGAGCAGGGAUAGUAUAAUUAGAGACCAAACAGUAAGAGAAACUGCUUAUGCUCCCCAUUAGAAACUCUGCCCCACUGCAGGCUUAGGCACAUCAGAAAGUACCAUGUUUUUUUUUGUAAAUGAUGAGAACCAAGGAUCCUGUUUAACAUGUCCAAAUAAAAAUGGUUUCCUAUUUUU